AGAGUUUGAUCCUGGCUCAGGAUGAACGCUAGCUACAGGCUUAACACAUGCAAGUCGAGGGGCAGCAUUUUAGUUUGCUUGCAAACUGAAGAUGGCGACCGGCGCACGGGUGAGUAACACGUAUCCAACCUGCCGAUAACUCCGGAAUAGCCUUUCGAAAGAAAGAUUAAUACCGGAUAGCAUACGAAUAUCGCAUGAUAUUUUUAUUAAAGAAUUUCGGUUAUCGAUGGGGAUGCGUUCCAUUAGUUUGUUGGCGGGGUAACGGCCCACCAAGACUACGAUGGAUAGGGGUUCUGAGAGGAAGGUCCCCCACAUUGGAACUGAGACACGGUCCAAACUCCUACGGGAGGCAGCAGUGAGGAAUAUUGGUCAAUGGGCGAGAGCCUGAACCAGCCAAGUAGCGUGAAGGAUGAAGGCUCUAUGGGUCGUAAACUUCUUUUAUAUGGGAAUAAAGUUUUCCACGUGUGGAAUUUUGUAUGUACCAUAUGAAUAAGGAUCGGCUAACUCCGUGCCAGCAGCCGCGGUAAUACGGAGGAUCCGAGCGUUAUCCGGAUUUAUUGGGUUUAAAGGGAGCGUAGGUGGAUUGUUAAGUCAGUUGUGAAAGUUUGCGGCUCAACCGUAAAAUUGCAGUUGAAACUGGCAGUCUUGAGUACAGUAGAGGUGGGCGGAAUUCGUGGUGUAGCGGUGAAAUGCUUAGAUAUCACGAAGAACUCCGAUUGCGAAGGCAGCUCACUAGACUGUCACUGACACUGAUGCUCGAAAGUGUGGGUAUCAAACAGGAUUAGAUACCCUGGUAGUCCACACAGUAAACGAUGAAUACUCGCUGUUUGCGAUAUACAGUAAGCGGCCAAGCGAAAGCAUUAAGUAUUCCACCUGGGGAGUACGCCGGCAACGGUGAAACUCAAAGGAAUUGACGGGGGCCCGCACAAGCGGAGGAACAUGUGGUUUAAUUCGAUGAUACGCGAGGAACCUUACCCGGGCUUAAAUUGCAACAGAAUAUAUUGGAAACAGUAUAGCCGUAAGGCUGUUGUGAAGGUGCUGCAUGGUUGUCGUCAGCUCGUGCCGUGAGGUGUCGGCUUAAGUGCCAUAACGAGCGCAACCCUUAUCUUUAGUUACUAACAGGUCAUGCUGAGGACUCUAGAGAGACUGCCGUCGUAAGAUGUGAGGAAGGUGGGGAUGACGUCAAAUCAGCACGGCCCUUACGUCCGGGGCUACACACGUGUUACAAUGGGGGGUACAGAAGGCGGCUACCUGGUGACAGGAUGCUAAUCCCAAAAACCUCUCUCAGUUCGGAUCGAAGUCUGCAACCCGACUUCGUGAAGCUGGAUUCGCUAGUAAUCGCGCAUCAGCCAUGGCGCGGUGAAUACGUUCCCGGGCCUUGUACACACCGCCCGUCAAGCCAUGAAAGCCGGGGGUACCUGAAGUACGUAACCGCAAGGAGCGUCCUAGGGUAAAACUGGUAAUUGGGGCUAAGUCGUAACAAGGUAGCCGUACCGGAAGGUGCGGCUG
rnacentral:rRNA from 1 species